UACGUAGGGUGCGAGCGUUGUCCGGAAUUACUGGGCGUAAAGAGCUCGUAGGUGGUUUGUCGCGUUGUCCGUGAAAACUCACAACUCAAUUGUGGGCGUGCGGGCGAUACGGGCAGACUGGAGUACUGCAGGGGAGACUGGAAUUCCUGGUGUAGCGGUGGAAUGCGCAGAUAUCAGGAGGAACACCGGUGGCGAAGGCGGCGAUCUGGACGAUGACUGACGCUGAGACGCGAAAGCGUGGGGAGCAAACAGG
rnacentral:rRNA from 1 species